rnacentral:lncRNA from 1 species
UUCGCAAUAUACUUUGUGAAUAGCUAGAGGUAGUGGUGUGACUCUGACUCACUCGUCAACAUCAAGUAGAGAGAAAGCAAGUUCCUCAGAGACUAUAUAAGCCAUUUCAAUGUGGCUACUUUGGAGGUCCAGGACCUGGACCAAUCGAUUGCCAUGUUUGCUCUUAAAGGUAGGCUUCGUAAAAACCAAUUCCUCUUCUCCCUGAAGAAGAGGUACUGAAAGACUUUGCUCAGAUGCUGGCUCAGGUGGAAAAAUAUGCAAAUACUGAG